GCGGGCGGCCAUGUCGCGCCGCGCGCCGCGCCCGCAGGUGCCGUUCUCGGGCGCGGCAGUUGCGGGCGGCCAUGUUACGCUCUGCGGGCGCCGGGCGGUGCCGCUGCGGGGGCCGGAGUCCCCUCACCCCGGGGCCGGGCCUGGCGUGUCGGUUCCGUACCGGACGUGUGCUGCUGACACGCGGGUCCCGUGGGUCGCCGGAGGCAGCGGUGUUCGCCUGCUUGCCCGGGCUGUCAGAGCAAGGUUCAUGGGUGCAGACUGUGUCCUCCACACCCUGUCCGAUCCCAUCUUCCACUCUUAAAUACGUGGUGAGGAGAGACCUCCUGCAGAGUCUGGCCUAGGGUUUUAUCAAGCACUCUGUGGCAACAGAUCUCAAAGAGCAUGAGAACCGAGGCCUGCAGCAUUGCCCCUCUGGGGUGGAGAAACUGAAGGGCAGAAGGCAGUGUUUUACCUGUGAUGACACAACAGCUCUCAGUAAUAUCUUUACUCCUUAGCCAGCUCCAUGACUCUGUUGAAGGAGACAAACAAGAAAGUGGUGUCUGAAAUCAGUCUAGGUGCCGAAAAGCAUAGCGACUGGUAUUCCACCUCCAGAUGUGAGAACAGAUCGUUUCUAAUCUGCUGCCACCAGCAUCUCCCAGCAGGAAUGCCAGCAUGUGCUCCAAGGGAGCUAUAAAGGGGAGAGAAAUUUCUUCUGAGAACAGAGUUCUCAUUUGUCUAAGCUGCAAAGACCCAAUAGAAAAUCCAACACAGAAUUAAGAGCCUGACUUUUAUCAGAGGAUGACCGAAAAAUGGCUCUACCUGCUCAAGUCAGGGAGUCAUCCAGCCAAUAUCCUCUCUUUGACACUAGAAAGCAGCACACAGUAGCAGAUAUUUAGGGACAAGGUAGAGGAAACAUGGCAAAAAUGUAGGGAUUGCUUCUCCUGUGUCCUGUUACAGGUCUAGCAUCAAUGUCAGAGAGACUUGCUCAGCCAGAGGUGGUAUGUUUGUGUUUAGUUGUCCUUGAGUAACUUUUCUUUCAAGCUUUUGUCCAGUUAUUUUUUGAACCCAAUGUAAUAUUUUGGAACCUUUUCUGAGAGGGGCAGUGGAGUCUCUACAAUGUUGGAUGCUUUUUGUGAGAGAUUUGCUUCAGUCCUGUCAGGUUUAUGGGAAAAACUACCCAAUGUGUAUUCCCAGGGUAUUGGACUCCAUAAUCUCAGUAUUCUUUCCUAACACUGAAAUCUGUUAACUGCUGGCUUGAGUUGACUCCUGAUCUACCUUGCAGGUAAAAAGCAAGGCCUGGAAUAAUUUGGUCCUAACCAGUACGUUCUGCCCCUUUUAUUUAUCUGCAUUAAUCCAUGUUUUCUUCCACAACAGAGGAUUAUAGACCCCACUACAGGGAAGCUGUAGCAGACAAUCAUGCAGGUGUGCAAGUAUGAGGCUCACUCCUCUGUAAAAGGAAGUCUCUAAAUCUCCAUGCAUCCUAAGUACUGUCUUUGAGUUGGCCAACAUGGGCGGCAGCUAUGAUGGGAGAUCCAGGGAUGGACUGAGGUUACACAGUGAGGCUGCAGCCUGCGUUCCAAUGCUGCUGGAGUUCCAGGGUCCUUGCUGCCCAGAUCCGCAGAAGACCACCACUCUUUUCAUCUGGGAGCAACAUGUUGGUUAAUGAAUUUCCUGAGAAGGGCAAAGGAGUCAGAGGUUGUGAAUCUGCAUCGUUUCCCAAGAACUGUUCUGUGCAUGUAGUAUUGAAGGUCAUGAGUGCCUGGGCGGUGAUCCCCAAGUUGAGUGCUGAACUGACGCUACAGCUGUCUGUGAAAUGAAAGCUAAGGCUGACUUCUGAGAGAAUUGUGCUGUGUGCCUCCAGGAAGCAGCUGUUUGCUGGUGUGGAGAAAGACAUAACAGGGAAUAUCCUGCUGCUCUGCAGAUCCAGAUGCCAGGACAUGACCUCGUCAGAAGAAAAACUUUCCAGGCAACGGUGGCUCUUCCCCUGGCGCCAGCACCAGCCGGCUGCCUCAGGCAACACCAGGAGAUGCCUCUGAAGACCUGCUGUGCACCAUCUGCCUGGACACAGUGGACAACGCCGCCUACGUCGCCUUCUGCAUGCACAGGUUCUGCUUUGGCUGUAUCCGGCAGUGGUCAGCCACCAGAGCCCAGUGCCCGCUCUGCCAGCGGCCCUUCAGCUCCAUCCUCCGUGUGAUGUGAGCUGACAACUUCCAGGAGGACUGCACCAGGCCCUCUGAGAGCAGCUCAUCCAAUGGCCAUCGAGGAGGGAGACUCUCCUUUCCUGCAGCGUUUGUCAGCGCCGCAGCACAGCAGCACCUCCAGCAGUGACAUGGCCACGCCGGGUCCCCCAAGAGGGCCUGAAGCAGGUCCCUGAGGCUCAACAGUGAUGGCCACAGCCGGCUUCAGCACGUAGCGAGGCGCUAUGACUCCCCAGGGAGGAGCAGGCAGCAAUGGAGUGGGGCUCAGGCCACUGCUCCUGCCGGCCCUUGGGAAAGAUCCCGAGCCGGGGGCCGAUUGAAGCGUAGGUCGCACAGCACUGAUGGCAGCAGGAGACGGGAAGCAGCUUCUGCAGGCUGGCACCAGCAUGCCUCCCCGUCGUGGGGCCACCAGGCCCCUGGGCAGGAGGAUGCUCCCGGGCCCUCCUACGCCAGCUCUGCUUGGGCUCCUGCGCCAGCAGCUUCUCGCGGGGAAACCUCAGCGAGCUCUGCCCAGGAGCUGGCCAGCUCUGCCCCUGCAGCGCACAGCCUGCCCCUGGCGCGCGGCCAAACACAGCAGGAGCAGCGAAGGGGCCGCAGCAGCAGAAGGCAGCGCGGAAGACACGCGGAGCCUUCGCCUGCCCGGGAGAGCCAUCGCAGCAGGUCCCCCAGGCGAGGCGAUGAGCUCUGCCAGGGAGUCAUAGGGACAGCAGCCCAGGAGUCCUCAGCUUGGCGGAGGAGGUAGAGCAGGAACAAGGCUCACAAUGACAGGCUUAAUUUUGUUGCCAGUUUGAUGGCCUUUGCUUACUGGAUCAAAUGCUAUUUAUUUAAUGAGAUUAUUGCUGUGCUGCCAACAUACUUGUUUUUGCAUCAGAAAUCCUGAUAGGCCACCAACUUCAGCUAUGCUUACAGUUGUAGCUGUGCUUGAAACUUUUGGGUGAAUGACUCUGGGAAACUGCUGGUGAAUCAAACUUACUCUGAGAGAAGAUGAAGCCAGACUCUUCUCAGUGAUAUCCAGUGACAGGACAAGAGGCAAUGGGCACUACUUUCAGUUCUCCUAGGUUGUAGAUGGGCUGCUAGAAGGUGCAGUGGGAACCAUCCCAGAGCACCUGGGCUCCACGCUGGCCUGAGCACAAAUGAAGUAAAAGCCACGGUCUCCAGAGAGCUGGCUAGCUGAAAGUGGGGCAUGGAGCAUAACAGGAGGAGGAGAGCAUCUGAAAUGGGGAGGCAGGAAUCAUCGGCCAUGAAGUCUUCAGUGCCUGUAGUGAACAGUGAGAUUCAUUCCCUGGAGCUUGCCAAACUUGCAGCAGACCCAAGUCGCUACCGGAGUCACCGAGCUGCUGGUGCUUUCAAGCAGCACCCAUGUGCAGAGUGACAGCAAUGGGAGACUGUGCGCUGCGAAGCUGGGAGUGGAAAUCACCGCUGCAGGCAGAGAGGAGCGUGACUCAGCCAAUCUAGCACGCUCAGGCUUGCCUCCGCGCUACAGCUUUUCAGCAAGGCCCAGGGACUGCUUCUGCAGUCUGAUUAGCUGGGAAGCUGCCAGUCGCUGUGCCAUCCCCUCCUCUCUGCAGUCAGCUCGCAGGCAGCUCAGCCCUCUUCACUCAUCACCUGCAUCUCAAGUGAUAAAAUGACCUGCUGGAGGGGGGUGCACAGCUGAGUUCCCUGUGACGGGCACAGAGCAGAGGAGCAGGCGAUGCAGGAGGAGGACACUGCAG